UACAAGCCUUAUACGUCCCCAAAAGCAAUCCUAUACCCCCUACAAGGUUUCAGACCCAAAAGAUUGGUAGCUAGCUGUCUAUUAGAGUUGCUCCUCUAUUUUUGGAGCUCUAGGACAAUUGUUUUGACCAAUGGGCUUCCCUUCAUCUACCCUUGGUUGCUUCCUCAAUUUCCUCUUAUAUGUCUUCUUAAAACCAACCGCUAUAUCAGCAGCUGUAUCACAUAAAUAGGCAACACUCUCAAUUUUCCCACAUAGGGAUUGAGAAAGAACAAGAAAUCUAAUUGAGAAAUAUAUAGAAUCCCCACGUCCAUUUCAAAGAGUAAGAAAGAAGAGGGAGAGUGGUUUAGAAAAACUAACAAAGGAAGCUUGAAUCUCUUCAAUCUUCCAAUCCUAAACUCUAAGAUCUUUAAUAAUCCCAAAACCUAACUCCACUUUGCUCCAAAAACAUGUUUGCAAUCAUUCCCUUCAUUUCUCAGUAUAAGAUGGCGUCCAGAAUGCUGAAAAUCGGGUCCUCUAGGUAUUUUUAUUGGGGGGGGGACAAAACUUUGCAUUUUGGGUUCCGUCAAGGUGUCGUGACACUCCUACUACAGUGUCGUGGCACUAGAAGCACUGUAUUUUCUCUGCACAAGGUGCAAUGGCAUUUCUGCUUUGGUGCACCAAUGAUGUUGCCUUCUUUCCUUAGAAUAGAGUGUUGUAGCACCUCGUACAUGUGCCUUGACAUUAGUGAAUCUUCUCAACUUGACUUCCUUAUGCAUUAACUCCUUUCUUGAUUGCUUAUAAUGUUCAUAUGCACCUAGCAAUAAUAAGCAUUUGUAAGUGGAAAAACUGUGGGAUUCAAUCAUUCCCAAUUUUACAUCAUUUUCUUAUUAGUAUUCGCCUUAUACUCACAUGAUGUCUUUGAUAAAUUUUUCUUUGCCAAUUCAUGAAAAUAUUUUCACUUUUGCUUUUAUGACUCCCUAAAUAUAUUCAAAAUAUACUUUUGAUUUGUAAAAUUUGGGGAGUCAACGUAAACGAACAUCAAUUUCAGUUUGCCCACAUUCAAAAAUAGGCAUCAAUCUCAAUUUUCCCACAAUUGUAAAUAGGCAUCAAUGACAAUUUUCCCACAUUCAAAAAUAGGCAUCAAUAUCAAAUUUCCCACAUUUGUAUAUAGUCAUCAAUCUCAAUUAUACAACAUCAUAAAUAAAGAUCAAAUUCAAUUUUCCCA